ensembl:lncRNA
CCAAAGGGAAGGCAUGGCAGGAGAAUCCACUUGCCGAGGCCUAGAGACUGCAAUCAAAACAGAGAAAAAGCAAAGAAAGUCUGGCCAUCCGGAGAACUGCCACUGCCAUCCAAGAGGCUGGAGACCACAGAGGCUACAGACAGAAUCUUAAAGGGGCUGGAAGCAACAUUCAGCAUGACCCUUUCUCUGGUCCAGGUCAGGUCCCUGGGUAUCCUCAGAUGAACUAACUGACAGAGAAGUCGGACUUUCAGCCUGAACCUGUCUGCUUACUGAGUCUGCCUCUGCCGCAUCCUUGGGUAAUACUGUCUGAGAGCCGUUAUUUGUCUUGUCAACACAGACCAGGAAAAGAACAUUAAAAAUGAACUCUAUCAACCUUGUCUUUCCCACAUCUUGUCCUCUACAUGAUGUCUAGAAUCCCAGGGUGUGCCUGGCACCUAACCCUCAGGGCAAAAUGAAGAAAAGGCUUGCUUUCUUUAGGGCUUUAACUGUUC